rnacentral:tRNA from 1 species
GGGCGAUUAGCUCAGGGGGAGAGCACAUGCCUUACAAGCAUGGGGUCGCUGGUUCAAAUCCAGCAUCGCCCACCA